UCGUCUUGAUCGCUGAGUUCCGUUAUGUUCGGAAGCGGGGGAACCAAUGAUUAUUCAGGCGCUUAAGCAGCUAUGCUUGCGGCCUGAAGACGGGGUGAAUCUGGCCAAGCAGGAAGAGGGAGGGCAAUGUCUGCACUCCAUUCCGUGAAAAAGGCUGGUAGGGCGACUCUUCGAUUCCGAACCCGACAGCUAACCUCGUAAGCGUCCGAGGAGAGGCAUG
rnacentral:sRNA from 2 species